rnacentral:rRNA from 1 species
GACGAACGCUGGCGGCGUGCUUAACACAUGCAAGUCGAACGGUAAGGCCCUUCGGGGUACACGAGUGGCGAACGGGUGAGUAACACGUGGGUGAUCUGCCCUGCACUUCGGGAUAAGCCUGGGAAACUGGGUCUAAUACCGGAUAGGACCACUGCCUGCAUGGGUGGUGGUGGAAAGCUUUUGCGGUGUGGGAUGGGCCCGCGGCCUAUCAGCUUGUUGGUGGGGUGAUGGCUUACCAAGGCGACGACGGGUAGCCGGCCUGAGAGGGUGACCGGCCACACUGGGACUGAGAUACGUCCCAGACUCCUACGGGAGGCAGCAGUGGGGAAUAUUGCACAAUGGGCGCAAGCCUGAUGCAGCGACGCCGCGUGAGGGAUGACGGCCUUCGGGUUGUAAACCUCUUUCAGCACCGACGAAGCGCAAGUGACGGUAGGUGCAGAAGAAGGACCGGCCAACUACGUGCCAGCCGCCGCGGUAA